rnacentral:misc_RNA from 1 species
GCAAACUUGGUCAUUUAGAGGAAGUAAAAGUCGUAACAAGGUUUCCGUAGGUGAACCUGCGGAAGGAUCAUCACUGAGAGGGGGGGGGAGGCCUCCAAGGGCGGAAGCCUCCUUUCCCAAUCAAUCUUGUGUGAACUGUAACGAGCAUGAGCGGGUUGGUGGAGAGGUAGUGUAGUGCUACGUGCUGCUGCCUACCCCCACCGCCGGCCCGCUGGCAUAUUAUCUCCUCAAUCACCUGGUCUAAUCUUACAUAACAUACACACACACACACAACUUUUAACAAUGGAUCUCUUGGCUCUCGCAUCGAUGAAGAACGCAGC